CGUACGCUGAAUGAAUACAUUUAAGGCAGCAUUAACCGUUCCGUACAAUUUCUACCGCUAUCGGCACAAACUUCAUUAGUUGUCGAGCGCGAACCGUCGCGUACGCUUCAAAACUUUCGCCUGUCGGUCUUUCUGUCGUAUAGAUGCAGUUGCACUUUAUAUUUAUCUGACUAUUUCAUCAUUAUAUAAAAUACUUCUAUUUAAUUUUAUUUAAUUUCUAUUGAUAUCAUUUAUUAAAAUAACAAUUAAAAUAUGGAACAGUUGCAAAUGUCAAAAUUAAUCAAUAUUUAAGGUAAAACAAAGUGUCGAAAAAUUUUAAGAUUUUCAUUUCAUUUUAUGGUCAAUAAAUGAUUUAAUUAUAUAGAGGUAUGUCAUGUAGAAAUAUGUCAUCUUUAGUUAAGAGCAGCAAUUCAUGAAUUGUAAAGUGUAUUAAGAAUAGACUGGUAAUAACUAGAUAAUUGAGUGGUAGUGAUAAUACAAUGAUUGGCAAACGUGGGGAAAUGUCACAAUCAGCAUGAAGUGUUUCAAGAAAUUCUUUCAGCACACUUGGCAUUUACAACAGCACAAGAGAUAGAGUUCAAGUACCCUCGCUCGACGAUCAGGAAUAAAGUUCAACAUCUAAAUUAGUCAGUUCCGUGAUAGAUGCACCGAAGAAAGUAUACCUAGCCGGCAAUCUGAAGCGGGAAAACGAGAAGACGAUUGCGCGAUACUUGGAUAGCUUCUUUUCUCAAAUUCGAGAUAGCCAGGCCGGAUCUUCAAAGCAGGAUGAUCCUGGAAAAGAAAGCGACGAAACAAAAGAAAAUACAGCGGUGAAGGAAUCAUCGAAGAAAGAAGCUACAGGAAUAAAAAUCGCACAAUCGAAUAAACUACGAAACGUAGAUAAUACCGUAAUUAAAUUAACAACUUUUGAUUAUCCUGGAACUUCGAAAUCGCAUCAACCUGCCAAAAAAUCAAGUUCGAAGCCUGGACACAGUAAAGUGAAGCCCACCCAGAGCAAAGCAACCCAAAUGCGUGAAAAUUUAAGUACACAAAGGCUACAAGCUAACGAAGAAAUCGAUGAUGAUUCUUCUUUGGAUGCAGAGGAUACUCAAGCAAGGCCCAAAUACAUUUUAGUCGGAUGGGACAAAUUUCGUUCCAAGCUUAUGCUGAUACUAUUGAUUCUCUUUGUUUUAUGGGCAGUCAUCUAUUUUCCCAUAAUUCUAAAUAUUUAACGACAUCGAAAAAAAAUAAUAUUUUCUCUUCUUAUGAGCGAUAAAUAUGAUAUUCAGUGAAUUUUAAUAUGGGUAUAUACAUAUAUAUGUAUAUAUAUAUAUAUAUAUAUAAAGUAAGUUUCCAAUUCUUAGUAAGAAAUGAACGAAUCUAGUUUGUAUUAAAAUUAUAUAUCGAGAAUGUUAUCUGUUCGUGAGCAAAUAGAACGUUUCCUUAAAUGUCAAUCAAAUUAUGAACUAGUUUAUUACGGUAUCGUAGUUGUGGUAAAACUUC